rnacentral:rRNA from 1 species
UACGUAGGGUGCGAGCGUUAAUCGGAAUUACUGGGCGUAAAGCGUGCGCAGGCGGUUUUGUAAGACAGAUGUGAAAUCCCCGGGCUCAACCUGGGAACUGCGUUUGUGACUGCAAGACUCGAGUGCGGCAGAGGGGGGUGGGAAUUCCACGUGUAGCAGUGAAAUGCGUAGAGAUGUGGAGGAACACCGAUGGCGAAGGCAGCCCCCUGGGUCGACACUGACGCUCAUGCACGAAAGCGUGGGGAGCAAACAGG